rnacentral:rRNA from 1 species
UACGUAGGGGGCAAGCGUUGUCCGGAUUCAUUGGGCGUAAAGAGCGUGUAGGCGGCCAGGUAGGUCGGUUGUGAAAACCGGAGGCUCAACCUUCAGAGGUCGACCGAAACCAUCUGGCUAGAGUCCGGGAGAGGAGAGUGGAAUUCCUGGUGUAGCGGUGAAAUGCGCAGAUAUCAGGAAGAACACCCGUGGCGAAAGCGGCUCUCUGGAACGGUACUGACGCUGAGACGCGAAAGCGUGGGGAGCGAACAGG